UUCCCGGGGUUGAUCCUGCCGGACCCCACUGCUAUCGGGAUGGGACUAAGACAUGCUAGUCGUGCGUCUCCUAGCCAUGGUGGAGACGCGGCGCACAGCUCAGUAACACGUGGCUAACCUGCCCUUGGGACGAAAACAUCCCCGGGAAACUGGGGCCAAUUUUCGAUAGGUGAAGAACCCUGGAAUGGGUCUUCGCCCAAAAGGCGCUUGGAGCAUGCUUCUAGGCGUUGCCCAAGGAUGGGGCCGCGGCCGAUCAGGUUGUUGGUGAGGUAAUGGCUCACCAAGCCUUUAACCGGUACGGGCCGUGGGAGCGGUAGCCCGGAGAUGGGCACUGAGACAAGGGCCCAGGCCCUACGGGGCGCAGCAGUCGCGAAAACUUCGCAAUAGGCGAAAGCUUGACGAGGCCAUCCCGAGUGCCAUCUGCUGAGGAUGGCUUUUACCAAGUGUAGAUAGCUGGGGGAAUAAGGAGAGGGCAAGUCUGGUGUCAGCCGCCGCGGUAAUACCAGCUCUCCGAGUUGUGGGGAUGUUUAUUGGGCCUAAAGCAUCCGUAGCCGGCUGGGCAAGUCCUCUGUUAAACCCAGCGAUCAAUCGUUGGCUUGCGGGGGAUACUGUCCGGCUAGGGGGCGGGAGAGGCCGUCGGUAUUCUCGGGGUAGGGGUGAAAUCCUAUAAUUCCGGGAGGACCACCAGUGGCGAAGGCUGUCGGCUAGAACGCGCCCGACGGUGAGGGAUGAAAGCUGGGGGAGCGAACCGGAUUAGAUACCCGGGUAGUCCCAGCUGUAAACGAUGCAGGCUAGGUGUUAGGGCGGCUACGUGCCGCUCUAGUGCCGCAGGGAAGCUGUUAAGCCUGCCGCCUGGGGAGUACGGCCGCAAGGCUGAAACUUAAAGGAAUUGGCGGGGGAGCACCACAAGGGGUGAAGCUUGCGGUUUAAUUGGAGUCAACGCCGGA
rnacentral:rRNA from 1 species